rnacentral:rRNA from 1 species
UCAUCUUCGGGGGUAGAGCACUGUUUCGGCUAGGGGGUCAUCCCGACUUACCAACCCGAUGCAAACUACGAAUACCGAAGAAUGUUAUCACGGGAGACACACGGCGGGUGCUAACGUCCGUCGUGAAGAGGGAAACAACCCAGACCGCCAGCUAAGGUCCCAAAGUCAUGGUUAAGUGGGAAACGAUGUGGGAAGGCACAGACAGCCAGGAUGUUGGCUUAGAAGCAGCCAUCAUUUAAAGAAAGCGUAAUAGCUCACUGGUCGAGUCGGCCUGCGCGGAAGAUGUAACGGGGCUAAACCAUGCACCGAAGCUGCGGCAGCGACACUAUGUGUUGUUGGGUAGGGGAGCGUUCUGUAAGCCUGCGAAGGUGUGCUGUGAGGCAUGCUGGAGGUAUCAGAAGUGCGAAUGCUGACAUAAGUAACGAUAAAGCGGGUGAAAAGCCCGCUCGCCGGAAGACCAAGGGUUCCUGUCCAACGUUAAUCGGGGCAGGGUGAGUCGACCCCUAAGGCGAGGCCGAAAGGCGUAGUCGAUGGGAAACAGGUUAAUAUUCCUGUACUUGGUGUUACUGCGAAGGGGGGACGGAGAAGGCUAUGUUAGCCGGGCGACGGUUGUCCCGGUUUAAGCAUGUAGGCUGGUUAUCCAGGCAAAUCCGGAUAAUCAAGGCUGAGGUGUGAUGACGAGGCACUACGGUGCUGAAGUAACAAAUGCCCUGCUUCCAGGAAAAGCCUCUAAGCAUCAGGUAACAUCAAAUCGUACCCCAAACCGACACAGGUGGUCAGGUAGAGAAUACCAAGGCGCUUGAGAGAACUCGGGUGAAGGAACUAGGCAAAAUGGUGCCGUAACUUCGGGAGAAGGCACGCUGGUGUGUAGGUGAAGNUGGAGCUGAGACCAGUCGAAGAUACCAGCUGGCUGCAACUGUUUAUUAAAAACACAGCACUGUGCAAACACGAAAGUGGACGUAUACGGUGUGACGCCUGCCCGGUGCCGGAAGGUUAAUUGAUGGGGUUAUCCGUAAGGAGAAGCUCUUGAUCGAAGCCCCGGUAAACGGCGGCCGUAACUAUAACGGUCCUAAGGUAGCGAAAUUCCUUGUCGGGUAAGUUCCGACCUGCACGAAUGGCGUAAUGAUGGCCAGGCUGUCUCCACCCGAGACUCAGUGAAAUUGAACUCGCUGUGAAGAUGCAGUGUACCCGCGGCAAGACGGAAAGACCCCGUGAACCUUUACUAUAGCUUGACACUGAACAUUGAGCCUUGAUGUGUAGGAUAGGUGGGAGGCUUUGAAGCGUGGACGCCAGUCUGCGUGGAGCCAACCUUGAAAUACCACCCUUUAAUGUUUGAUGUUCUAACGUUGGCCCCUGACCGGGGUUGCGGACAGUGUCUGGUGGGUAGUUUGACUGGGGCGGUCUCCUCCCAAAGCGUAACGGAGGAGCACGAAGGUUAGCUAAUCCUGGUCGGACAUCAGGAGGUUAGUGCAAUGGCAUAAGCUAGCUUGACUGCGAGCGUGACGGCGCGAGCAGGUGCGAAAGCAGGUCAUAGUGAUCCGGUGGUUCUGAAUGGAAGGGCCAUCGCUCAACGGAUAAAAGGUACUCCGGGGAUAACAGGCUGAUACCGCCCAAGAGUUCAUAUCGACGGCGGUGUUUGGCACCUCGAUGUCGGCUCAUCACAUCCUGGGGCUGAAGUAGGUCCCAAGGGUAUGGCUGUUCGCCAUUUAAAGUGGUACGCGAGCUGGGUUUAGAACGUCGUGAGACAGUUCGGUCCCUAUCUGCCGUGGGCGCUGGAGAAUUGAGGGGGGCUGCUCCUAGUACGAGAGGACCGGAGUGGACGCAUCACUGGUGUUCGGGUUGUCAUGCCAAUGGCACUGCCCGGUAGCUAAAUGCGGAAGAGAUAAGUGCUGAAAGCAUCUAAGCACGAAACUUGCCCCGAGAUGAGUUCUCCCUGAGACUUUAAGUCUCCUGAAGGAACGUUAAAGACGAUGACGUUGAUAGGCCGGGUGUGUAAGCGCAGCGAUGCGUUGAGCUAACCGGUACUAAUGAACCGUGAGGCUUAACCUU